rnacentral:rRNA from 1 species
GACGAACGCUGGCGGCGUGCUUAACACAUGCAAGUGGAGCGACGAACCAGGGCUUGCCCUAGGGCAGAGCCGCGAACGGGUGAGUAACACGUGGGUAACGUGCCCCGAUGACCGGGACAACCCGAGGAAACUCGGGCUAAUACCGGAUGUGGACCUCUCACAUCAGUGAGUUGUCUAAAGGUAGCUUCGGCCUCCGCAUUGGGAGCGGCCCGCGGCCCAUUAGCUUGGUGGUGAGGUAACGGCUUACCAAGGCUUCGAUGGGUAGCUGGUCUGAGAGGACGAUCAGCCACACUGGGACUGAGACACGGCCCAGACUCCUACGGGAGGCAGCAGUGGGGAAUCUUGCGCAAUGCGCGAAAGCGUGACGCAGCAACGCCGCGUGGGGGAAGACGGCCUUCGGGUUGUAAACCCCUUUCAGGAGGGACGAAGGUCACACGGUUAAUAGCCGGCGUGACUGACGGUACCUCCAGAAGAAGCCCCGGCUAACUACGUGCCAGCCGCCGCGGUAA